UACGAAGGGGGCUAGCGUUGCUCGGAAUCACUGGGCGUAAAGGGUGCAUAGGCGGGUUAUUAAGUCAGAGGUGAAAUCCUGGAGCUCAACUCCAGAACUGCCUUUGAUACUGAUAGUCUUGAGUAUGGGAGAGGUGAGUGGAACUGCGAGUGUAGAGGUGAAAUUCGUAGAUAUUCGCAAGAACACCAGUGGCGAAGGCGGCUCACUGGCCCAUUACUGACGCUGAGGCACGAAAGCGUGGGGAGCAAACAGG
rnacentral:rRNA from 1 species